ACCCAGACACGAGAAGGUCAGAGAAACUCAGAGAAAGCAAGCAAGUGAAUUUGCCUUACUCUAGGACCCACACUUUGGUGAUCACAGCUGGAUGAAGAAUGUCAGGGGAUGAAUCGGAAGAAAUGAAACUGGAAAGAGGAAGGAACUAAGUCUUGAAGGGUCUUGGAAGCCAUGUUAAGAAAGAUGAAUGAGAGGUAAAGAAGACGACAUUGAG
rnacentral:lncRNA from 1 species